AGAGUUUGAUCAUGGCUCAGAUUGAACGCUGGCGGCAUGCCUUACACAUGCAAGUCGAACGGUAACGCGGGGGCAACCCUGGCGACGAGUGGCGAACGGGUGAGUAAUACAUCGGAACAUAUCCAGUAGCGGGGGAUAACCUAUCGAAAGAUGGACUAAUACCGCAUACGAUCUACGGAUGAAAGCAGGGGACCGCAAGGCCUUGCACUAUUGGAGUGGCCGAUGUCGGAUUAGCUAGUUGGUGGGGUAAAAGCUUACCAAGGCGACGAUCCGUAGCUGGUCUGAGGGGACGAUCAGCCACACUGGAACUGAGACACGGUCCAGACUCCUACGGGAGGCAGCAGUGGGGAAUUUUGGACAAUGGGCGCAAGCCUGAUCCAGCCAUGCCGCGUGAGUGAAGAAGGCCUUCGGGUUGUAAAGCUCUUUCGGUGAAGACGAAACGGUUCAUGCUAAUAACGUGAACUAAUGACGGUACUCACAGAAGAAGCACCGGCUAACUACGUGCCAGCAGCCGCGGUAAUACGUAGGGUGCAGGCGUUAAUCGGAAUUACUGGGCGUAAAGCGUGCGCAGGCGGUUUGCUAAGACAGGUGUGAAAUCCCCGGGCUUAACCUGGGAAUUGCGCUUGUAACUGGCAAGCUAGAGUGUGGCAGAGGGGGGUGGAAUUCCACGUGUAGCAGUGAAAUGCGUAGAUAUGUGGAGGAACACCGAUGGCGAAGGCAGCCCCCUGGGUUAACACUGACGCUCAUGCACGAAAGCGUGGGGAGCAAACAGGAUUAGAUACCCUGGUAGUCCACGCCCUAAACUAUGUCAACUAGUUGUCGGGGAAGAAAUUCCUUGGUAACGAAGCUAACGCGUGAAGUUGACCGCCUGGGGAGUACGGCCGCAAGGUUAAAACUCAAAGGAAUUGACGGGGACCCGCACAAGCGGUGGAUUAUGUGGAUUAAUUCGAUGCAACGCGAAAAACCUUACCUACCCUUGACAUGCUAGGAAGCCCGCAGAGAUGUGGGUGUGCCCGAAAGGGAACCUAGACACAGGUGCUGCAUGGCUGUCGUCAGCUCGUGUCGUGAGAUGUUGGGUUAAGUCCCGCAACGAGCGCAACCCUUGCCAUUAGUUGCUACAUUCAGUUGGGCACUCUAAUGGGACCGCCGGUGACAAACCGGAGGAAGGUGGGGAUGACGUCAAGUCCUCAUGGCCCUUAUGGGUAGGGCUUCACACGUAAUAC
rnacentral:rRNA from 1 species